AGAGUGCACUGAAGGCACACAGCAUAGGGCUUCCAAGAUCGGGUUUCUUAUCCAGGAGCUGACCCUUUUCAGAUCUGCAAGACUUUCUUUCAGUCCUGUCCUCCAAUAGUCUAUCUUUCUGUCAUCCAGAACUCAGCAGGAAUUUCUUCUUCUUGCUCCUCCAAGGCCGCCCCCGGUUCUCCUACUCCUCGCUCUGCCCCCUCCUCCAACAAGGAAUUAAGAGCCACACCUUGCAGAGUACAUUAUUCAACUUGACAAAGAGUGAACUAUAGGUUCCAAGGAUAUUUACAAUUAAAGAGAGAUUUUAGGACACAAAAUGUGAUGUUUGCUUCUCUCAUUUUACACUGACAUCAGGAAAACCGCAGCUGAUAUGCAAUUGCUACAUAUGAGACUCCAGACAGCCCUGGGAAAAAAGGAGGGGAUGGAUGCCACUCACUAAGGAGCAUUAUUGUUCGCCAGCACAUCUUCCUACUUGGGAAGGUGAAAAAACAUGUCUGUAUUAGUAAAGGUUUUCCAGAUGAACAGAAUUCAGAGCAUGGAUCUCUCUAAGUAUGCAGGAAGUGGAUAGAUAAGAAUGGCUCACAGAAUGUGGCCCCACUAGUAAAUCAAUGACUGUAUCAAUGGAGAGUUGAAGAAAACAGUUGUGUCUAUAGGUCUCAGCUGGUGUUCACCACGUAAUAGAAUUCCACAGAUGGAGCCUUAAUGUCAGAAAAAUAAAAAGACCUUGCAAGCCAGUAUGUGGGAAGAAGAGAAAGAGAAAGAACUACCAUCUUCAAUAUCCUUUAUAUAUUUAGGCUCACAGCAGAACUUCUGGCCUUGAUUAAUUUUUUUCAUCUCAAUCUAAACUUGCAGAUUAAAGAAGGGUUUUCUCAUGUUUAUUGGUGAAAAUAAUAAAAACCCCUCAAAGUGCCC
rnacentral:lncRNA from 1 species